rnacentral:rRNA from 1 species
UGACCUCAGAUCAGACAAGGAUACCGCUGAACUUAAGCAUAUCAAUAAGCGGGGGAGGC